UACACUACUGUGGUUUUUGAAACUCAGAUGUUGUUGGGUGAAGAGAGUGAGAGGUUGGAGAGCAGUCAGGGAAAGCGCACGCGAGACGUGGCCGUUGGCAGACAGUCUCAAUGACUGUAAUGUCCCCGUGAGCGAACGUGCGGCAGUGUGAGGGAAGGGCAACCAGACACUGGAUUGUUGCUCCCGGGCUAGGAAUUAAUAUUUGAAAACAGUGUCCUUCAUUUUUUUUAGCUUCUGUUUUGUUUUUGUUUUGAACAAAAGGAAUAACAAGGGGAAUUUCCUUAUCACAGAUCGAAGCCAAUGUGGUGUUCAAAGAAAGCCAUUGGUCGAACUCUCCUGGCGACGUGUUACCAUGGUAAUCCCCGAGACUACAGGAGCCGGGUGUAGAGCGCUUCAAGGCAUCACAGCAACACAUUUGACCUAACUGACCAAAUACCUCAAGAACUGUUUCAUGAGAAAGAGACACAGCAUAGCAACUUGGCAACUGUGCAACAUGUGAAGAACCAAACUAUGGGAUUAGCCUGAGGAAAAACAAAUAUUACGUAGAGAAGGGAAGAAACUCUGUGUCCAUCUCCCCCGCUGCUGUCAUCCAGAGAUCCCUGUGAAGAUGCCUGACAGAGGAAGCCCUGCAGACCAGUCAACAUGAACCCCUAUAUUACCUCUCACUUUAGGAGGGACCUCUUUCCUCACUUCCAUUUGUUGUAGACUGACCCGUUCUGUUUGUCUCCUCCCUGCUGCCGUAGCUGUGUUGUUUCACGCUCAGACACCCCGUCUGAGAGUCUGAG